rnacentral:rRNA from 1 species
UAAUGGGUGAUGGCGUGCCUUUUGUAGAAUGAACCGGCGAGUUACGAUUUGAUGCAAGGUUAAGCAGUAAAUGUGGAGCCGUAGCGAAAGCGAGUCUGAAUAGGGCGUUUAGUAUUUGGUCGUAGACCCGAAACCAGGUGAUCUACCCUUGGUCAGGUUGAAGUUCAGGUAACACUGAAUGGAGGACCGAACCGACUUACGUUGAAAAGUGAGCGGAUGAACUGAGGGUAGCGGAGAAAUUCCAAUCGAACCUGGAGAUAGCUGGUUCUCUCCGAAAUAGCUUUAGGGCUAGCCUCAAGUGAUGAUUAUUGGAGGUAGAGCACUGUUUGGACGAGGGGCCCCUCUCGGGUUACCGAAUUCAGACAAACUCCGAAUGCCAAUUAAUUUAACUUGGGAGUCAGAACAUGGGUGAUAAGGUCCGUGUUCGAAAGGGAAACAGCCCAGACCACCAGCUAAGGUCCCAAAAUAUAUGUUAAGUGGAAAAGGAUGUGGCGUUGCCCAGACAACUAGGAUGUUGGCUUAGAAGCAGCCAUCAUUUAAAGAGUGCGUAAUAGCUCACUAGUCGAGUGACACUGCGCCGAAAAUGU